AUUGAGGAAUCUAUCGUUAGGCGAAAGAGAUGAUGGAUUUGUAAUAAUCUCCGGUAAGCUUACGUGAACCUCCGUAAGCUUGCUCUGCUUCUGAAAACUCCGAGUUUUCUUUUUCUUGACCGAAGGAUACUCGGUGAAUAGAGGCAGAUACAUCU